rnacentral:rRNA from 1 species
AUUGAACGCUGGCGGCAUGCUUUACACAUGCAAGUCGAACGGUAACAGGGAGCUUGCUCCGCUGACGAGUGGCGAACGGGUGAGUAAUGCGUCGGAACGUGCCGAGUAGUGGGGGAUAACGCAUCGAAAGGUGUGCUAAUACCGCAUACGAACUGAGGUUGAAAGUGGGGGACCUUCGGGCCUCACGCUAUUCGAGCGGCCGACGUCUGAUUAGCUAGUUGGUGAGGUAAAGGCUCACCAAGGCGACGAUCAGUAGCGGGUCUGAGAGGAUGAUCCGCCACACUGGGACUUGGACACGGCCCAGAAUCCUACGGGAGGCAGCAGUGGGGAAUUUUGGACAAUGGGCGCAAGCCUGAUCCAGCCAUGCCGCGUGUCUGAAGAAGGCCUUCGGGUUGUAAAGGACUUUUGUCCGGGAGCAAAUGCUGGUGGCUAACAUCCACCGGAGCUGAGAGUACCGGAAGAAUAAGCACCGGCUAACUACGUGCCAGCCGCCGCAGUAACAC